AACCCUAAACCUAAGAAGUCAGAUAUGCUGCGCCCCUUUCUACUGUUCAUCUUCCCCAACUCUCAACUCGCCCUCAACUCACCAUUAAUUCACCCGAGUUCACUCAAAAUGGUCCCCCCCCUCCACGUCAUUUGAUUCCCAACGGUUUUGUCAGUAGGGAGUACGAAUUUUCUCUCCCAAAUAGCACAAUUUCGGAUUCAAAAGGACAAUUGUUGGACGAAUGGGAGCCGUGGACAGAUGAAAAUUGAUCCACGCCUUCCAUUUGUCCCAAAAAUUGUUGAAAAAUCAGAAGAUUUCGGAUAUUUUGAGCAGAAGAUUCGAGAAUUUUUUUAGGGUUAUAUAUAGGAGGUAAGGCUUCUUUUCCUGGGGGGGGGGGGGGAGGAAAAUAAAAGAAAAAGAAAAAAAAUCAGGAGAAAAAUCGGAAAAAUCUUCAGAAAAUUUAGUAGUGAAAUUUCUAGUGUUUAAAGCCUUUUCUUCUUCUGGAGCUUUUUUGGAUUCGGCAUCUUUUCAAAGACGAAAAUAUAAGCAUGGUUUUGGAUUGAAGAUUAAAUUGGAGUUUUUUUUAUUGCUCGGGUUUGGAGUUUUGGCACUAUUGGUUUUCUGUCCAAUUUUCUGUUGCAGUUUGGAUUUGUUUGGCUGAUCUAUUAAGCUGUUGAUACUAUCGCUGAAUUUCUUCUCCCAUUUCAGAGUUUCGUUCGAUAUUUUCAGUUGUUUUUUUGCUAAUAGGUAUGUUUCAACACCGUUGUAUUCAUCUUCUAUUUAAAUAAAGUCGUUGAUUUCUGGUUUGGUUUGCUGAAUGCUUGUGAUAGUAUGUCAACAUGAACUUAAAUAGACCUAUAUUAAACUAUUUAUGGAGUUAAGUACUAGAGUUUUGUUAGGUCAAGAUUUGAGGGCAAGCAUGAAGCCAACCACUGAGGAAAAGAAUUUUGGUCCCUGUUUAUUUUUAGAAGUCAAGUUCCUGUAUUUUUUAGUUUCUUUUACUGCAAAAAUAUUCCUUGUUCUACUGUUGACAUGUGAGAACAAUUGAAGUGAGUUUUGGUUGAGUCUGCUACAUCACGUGGUAGCAAAAUUGCAUUAGUUUGGUGCAACAAACAUUCCAUAGUUUUCUUAUUGUGCGCUAUGCACACUUAUGUGUAUUAGUUGGUCAAAUGGCCUAAUUUCCCUGGUCUGGUGAUUUCGCUUAAAUAUUUGGAUAAAUAUCAUGAAUUUGCUCGAAUAUAGUUGUUUUAUUGAGUGCAUGUAUUCGCUCUGUUCUUUUUCUGCAAAACUAGUAGUGUUCAAUUUCAAGUUUGGCCUUAAUAAAAAUGGCAUCAGAUUGGUAGCAAAAAUAGAUCACUUUGAGGAUUUCUACAAAAAUGGUAAUUUAACUUAGAUUUAUCAAUUGAAAAGGACGCUAUUAGGAGCAUUGAAUGAAAUUUGUCCUUUGGUUAAAGUUUUAGAACAGAACCAAGGCAUUCAUAUGAUGAACAAUCCAUAAAGUCAUGCUAUUUGGUAUUGUCUCACUGACAGCAAUAUGUAUGCAUUUAUUUGAUCUUGUACUUGCACCUCUCUUUUCGCACGACACAAUUACCAUGACACUUCAGCCUUGCAUCCAGAUGGAUUUUUGAAUUCCCAAAAGUUUUAAGUUUAUAAAGGUAAGAACCCCGUAGAAUCACAUUUGACACUAGACCUUCAUAUUUUUAUGUCACUAUUUCUAUUUUUCAAAUAGUCUUAUCUUUUUUUGGUAAGUGUAUCAAUCUGCUGCUCUGUAUAAUUUUUUCACUCUCUACUUUGAUAGAAGUUAGGUUCUUAAAUUUUGUACCCUGCUCCUUGGUUAUUGUCUCAGUCUUUUGUUCAUUGGAAUAGUUGAGACCGAAAAUUGUUCAAUUUUGGAAUGGCCAAUAUGUAUCAGUUCAUAGAUUUCAUGCCAACUCAAAUAAAAAGCAAUUUCAAUUGUUGUAAUUGUGUUUGGGAGUAUGACUCCACUUUGGAUGGGAGUCUGCCGAUCAGGUUUGAAGAUUGAAUGAGCUUGAGGCCCAAUAUUGUUAUUCAACAAUGUGGAGUUCAUUUGGACUCAUUGCCGUUCACAUGCAAGCUUCUAAAUUGGGCAUGUUAUUUUGGGCCCAUUCGCACCUCUUAUUUGAUUCAUCAAAUUCCACAAGACCAAAGAAAAACCUUUUUAAUAAUAAGUUAUAGUACUAAUGUUGCUAUUGACCAUUGAGUAGUGUAGUAAAGUAAUAAUUUAUUCGUUGAUCUUCUGCCUACAUAUAUAUGCCUAGAAAAGAAGUUGUACUGAUAAGCCUUGUUUGAAAAAUGUCGUAGUUUGCUUUAGGCUCGAUUUAGACUAGUAUCGUGAUUGGUUAUACGUUCACGUAACAUAAUUGCAAGUUUAAUUCUAAAAAUGACUCGAGGGAUGCGUUCGCGCAACUUCAACUAAACUUUUCUUAAUAAAAAAUAAACAAAGUGUUAUUAAUUGUGGACACGUUCGCGUGACAUGAUUUUAACGCGCCAAAGGAAAAGAGUAUACGUUCGCGUAACUCAAUUCUUUAAUUAUGAAUAAAUCAAGUGAUUAAAAGAGGGUAAAAAGAUAAUUUCACGUAGGUCCUAAAAAUGAAUAGUUAAAUAAUUUUAGCCAAGUAUAAAUCGCUAAGUGACCGUGCUAGAACCACGGAAUCCGAGAAUGCCUAACACCUUCUCCCGGGUUAACAGAAUUCCUUAUCUAGAAUUUCUGGUUCGCAGACUUUAAAAAAUAAAACUUCAUCGACUUGGAAUUUUCAAAUAAACCGGUGACUUGGGACACCAAUUAAAAUAUUCCAAGUGGCGACUCUGAUUAAAUAAUUUAAAUAAUCUCAUCUCGAAUAAUGUCACUUUAAUUGGAAAAACUCCAUUAUACCCCUCCUCGGGUGUGUGAAAAGGAGGUGUGACAGCUCUGGCGACUCUGCUGGGGAUCGAACCCAGAAUCUCUGGUUCAGGGUUCAAGAAUUCGAGCUUGUUAAGGCAAUUUUUAUUUGGCUUUAUUACUGAUAUUACUGUAUUUUAUGGACUCAAUGUGCUAAUUGUCAUUUGUCGCUUUGAUAUUACUUGAACUGUAUUUAAAUGUCUUCUUGCGCCACCCAUCUGAGUCUUCUGAAAAUGGUGCACACGUUCACGUGGCCCGCUUUUUCUGUAGAAAUUAUAACAAAUAGAUCGAGGCUGGGCCAACAACAAGGACGGGUAGACUUUAGUGCUCCCGGUACGUUUCCCCCUCUUCGGCCCCAGUUGUCCGCUCGGGUAACCCAAGUCUAGACCACAAACCCCAAGUUUUUAACUUAGAAUAAUGCAACCUCAUGCCGGAUCCCUAGUAGGAACGUUUAUUUGCAUCACGUGCAUUUGACCUUGGGGACUCAACACAGGGGUUGGGUCCGUCUAGGAUAGGUGUACCCAAAAUAAAGACCAUCCUGAUGCAUCCUACGUGCUAUGUGAAUAUUCAUUUAUUUCGGGUUGCAUGUUGACCGGUUAAUAAAGAGAAAAAACCAAGAGUGAGGUAGGAUAGAGAAUUUACCUGGUUUCUAAAAAUCCUGGUAUUUUAAAAUAUUCCGAAACUCUGCCGAAUUUUGAAAAAAAAAAAGAGAAAAAGGAAAACAUAUUUCAAAAAAGAGUAAGUCAAAUAUCAUGUUUUUAUGUCAAAAUUGCCCGAACUACGCAGGUCUGAUUCUCGCCGGAUGUGGGAUACGUAGGCAACCCACAUAAGGUUCGACCUCAUUUUUACCAAAUAAUAAAAUAAAAAGGUGUUUCAGGGCUUUGGUCAAAACAAUAUGCCGACCCAGCUUCGGUUGUACUUAAGUCAUUUCUCCCCGGAAUAGCUUUAGAUUGCAUUCCAAUUGUCGAAAGGCUAUUUUCGAGAGGAACAGGCAUAAGGUGUCUUUUCCAAUAAAAUACCUACCCCCGACCUCAAAAUUCAUUUGGAAUUGUGAAGGGUGCCACGUUUGCAAAAAUGACCAUUUUGCUAACAUAGCAAUAAAAGGGGUCCUUGUCCGUUGAUUUUUUUUAAAACUUAUUUUGCAAAAAGAGUCCACAAGAGUCAACCCUAACCUUAACCCUCCACAGGUACAAAUGAAUACCGUCCAGGAAUUAUCGCAAUCUGUCAUAGAAAGGGC
rnacentral:lncRNA from 1 species